rnacentral:rRNA from 1 species
UACGGAGGGCGCUAGCGUUGUUCGGAAUUACUGGGCGUAAAGCGCACGUAGGCGGCUUUGUAAGUUAGAGGUGAAAGCCCGGGGCUCAACCCCGGAAUUGCCUUUAAGACUGCAUCGCUUGAAUCCGGGAGAGGUGAGUGGAAUUCCGAGUGUAGAGGUGAAAUUCGUAGAUAUUCGGAAGAACACCAGUGGCGAAGGCGACUCACUGGCCCGAUACUGACGCUGAGGCGCGAAAGCGUGGGGAGCAAACAGG